ensembl:snRNA U2 U2 spliceosomal RNA
GUCGCUGCUCAGCCAUUUGGCUAAAACCAAGUGUAGUAUCUGCUCUCAUCAGCUUAAUGUCUGAUAGCUCAUCUCUUCAAGGACAGUGUAUUAAAUAGAUUUUUGGAGCUGGGAGUUGGAAUGAGGGGCUUGUUCUGUCCAGUCCACAAAUUGACCUGAAACAGCAGUACUUCCAAGAGUGUUACAUGCCCC